rnacentral:rRNA from 1 species
CACGUAGGGCGCAAGCGUUGUCCGGAAUUAUUGGGCGUAAAGAGCUCGUAGGCGGUCUGUUGCGUCCGCUGUGAAAACUCGGGGCUUAACCCCGAGCCUGCAGUGGAUACGGGCAGACUAGAGGUAGGUAGGGGAGAAUGGAAUUCCCGGUGUAGCGGUGAAAUGCGCAGAUAUUGGGAAGAACACCGGUGGCCGAAGGCGGCUCACUGGCU